CCUUUGUGGGAAAGUCCCUGGACACCGCGAGACCCACCUCGAUCCGCGGAGUUCAGG
rnacentral:RNase_MRP_RNA from 1 species